rnacentral:rRNA from 1 species
UGAGGAACAUGACCUUCGGCGGGGGAUAGCCGGCCCAACGGCCGGGUAAUACCGCGUACGACCACAUGGGGACAUCCCUGAGUGGUGAAAGCAGCAAUGCGCCGAUGGAGUGCCUCGCGGCCUAUCAGCUAGUUGGUGAGGUAACGGCUCACCAAGGCGACGACGGGUAGCUGGUCUGAGAGGAUGGCCAGCCACAUUGGGACUGAGACACGGCCCAGACCUGUACGGGAGG